ACGGGUGAGUAACGCGUAAUCAACCUGCCCUUCAGAGGGGGAUAACAACGGGAAACCGUUGCUAAUACCGCGUACGAUUCAUAGGCGGCAUCGCUUGUGAAUGAAAGGUGGCCUCUAUAUAUAAGCUAUCGCUGAAGGAGGGGAUUGCGUCUGAUUAGCUAGUUGGAGGGGUAACGGCCCACCAAGGCAAUGAUCAGUAGCCGGUCUGAGAGGAUGAACGGCCACAUUGGGACUGAGACACGGCCCAAACUCCUACGGGAGGCAGCAGUGGGGAAUCUUCCGCAAUGGACGAAAGUCUGACGGAGCAACGCCGCGUGAGUGAUGAAGGUCUUCGGAUUGUAAAGCUCUGUUAAUCGGGACGAAAGAGUUCUGUGUGAAUAAUGCAGAAAAGUGACGGUACCGGAAUAGAAAGCCACGGCUAACUACGUGCCAGCAGCCGCGGUAAUACGUAGGUGGCAAGCGUUGUCCGGAUUUAUUGGGCGUAAAGCGAGCGCAGGCGGUUUGAUAAGUCUGAAGUUAAAGGCUGUGGCUCAACCAUAGUUCGCUUUGGAAACUGUCAAACUUGAGUGCAGAAGGGGAGAGUGGAAUUCCAUGUGUAGCGGUGAAAUGCGUAGAUAUAUGGAGGAACACCGGUGGCGAAAGCGGCUCUCUGGUCUGUAACUGACGCUG
rnacentral:rRNA from 1 species